GACGAACGCUGGCGGCGUGCCUAAUACAUGCAAGUCGAGCGAAGCGGCGGAUGGGUGAGUAACGCGUGGGUAACCUGCCCUUAAGUCUGGGAUACCAUUUGGAAACAGAUGCUAAUACCGGAUACUUAAGGAUGGACCUGCGAUGCAUUAGCUAGUUGGUAAGGUAACGGCUUACCAAGGCGAUGAUGCAGUGCCGCGUUGAGAGACUGAUGGGCAACAUGGGGACUGAGACACGGCCAAAACUCCUAGGAGGGGCAGGAGUAGGGAAUCUUCCACAAGGCGCGAAAGUCUGAUGGCGCAACGCCGCGUGAGUGAAGAAGUUUUGCGGAUUGAAAAGCUCUUUUGUUGGUGAAGCGGUAAUCAACCAGAAAGGCACGGCUAAUUACUUGCCAGCAGCCGCGGAAUAC
rnacentral:rRNA from 1 species